rnacentral:lncRNA from 1 species
CAGGGGUGGAAUCUUCUGAUCACCUGAUCAUUUCCCCUUUGUGAACUCAUUGUCCAUUGAUUCAAUACCUCAGUUACAUCUAUGCAUCCUUUACCUUUGCCAUAGCACACGAGGUGACCCCAGGUAUUGAUCGUGACCCCAGGCAUUGAUCGUGCACAGUCGCAGGUACCGCACUCGAGAGGAGCAGGUUAGGGUUGAGAGAGCCUGAUGAAAAAUCCUGUCUGUCCCCAGCUCUGAUUUAGAAGGCCCAGGUGCAGUCCUACAGUCCCCGGGCAACACAGAGUGACACUGAACUUCCCAGCAAGUGAGAGAGGCCUGCAUCCAAGGCCCCCUCCUAUACCAAAUCCUCAUUCCAAGAGCGCACCUCACAAUCCUGCAACCAGUCCUUCGGUGGCAGCGUCUGAAAGCAUGCACAGUUCAAUGACUUCUUGCAGACACAGGAAAUCCACGCACUCAAGUCCAGCUCGAGAUGUUCCUCGGAGCUCUUCAGAGUCGGCACUGCAACACAAAGGAGCAGGCAGCCUUCCUCCAGACUCCUCUCUAGGAUUUGCCCAGGUAAUAAUCAUCGCUCAGACUCUUACAUUCCUGCUCGAAGUACCAUGUACUUGGCAGCAUUCGAGGUAACUGUUUAUUGCAUACGGAGCCCUGUGAGUUAAUACAGAUAGCGCCAUUAGCCCCGUGGCCAUCUUGGCUGAGGCUGGGAAAUACAAUCGCUACAAGCCUGCUGGGACCCAUCUUUCUCUCCCCAGCAUGGAUAGAAGAUGAAGUCCAUCCCCUGCUCUGGAGAGCAGGGUAUGAGGAGCUAUUUGGUACCUGUACCCUCUGCUGAGCCCCUCAACACUCUGUCACCCUUUAUAGGGUAGGGAGGGAGGCUCAAGGGGAUUAAAAGACCCGGCUGAGGUCAUGUCGUACUGCAGCCUGGAUUAAGCCAGGAUCACGUGAUGGCAACGCCAUAUGUUUUCUAGUUUGAACUCCUGAAUUCUCCCCCCUCCCCCCAACUCUCCCUCCUCCCUUUCAGGUUAAGUAUAAUCCUAGAAGCCAUGAACU